rnacentral:rRNA from 1 species
UACGUAGGUGGCAAGCGAUACUCGGAAUCACUAGGCGUAAAGCGCAGGUAGGAGGUUUGGUAAGUCUAUUGUGAAAGCUCCCGGCUUAACUGGGAGAGGUCAAUGGAAACUACUAGGCUAGAGUGCGGUAGAGGUAGCUGGAAUUCCCGGUGUAGCGGUGAAAUGCGUAGAUAUCGGGAGGAAUACCUAUGGCGAAAGCAGGCUACUGGACCGUCACUGACUCUGAUCUGCGAAAGCUAGGGGAGCAAACAGG